AUUAGGAUUUUACUAUUACCAUUUAUCGGGUUUUUUUGUUUUCACAGAAAUAUCGCGCUUUUUAAAACAACUUAUUUAUUUAAAGUAUGAAUGCUCUGCUGAAUAUACGUCUGCCUGCCUUAAGACGGCAUCAGAUCUCCCUAAAGAUGGUUGUGAGCCACAAUGUGGUUGCUGGGAAUUGAACUCAAGACUUCUGGAAGAGCAGCCAGUACUCUUAAAUGCUCUCACCAGCCCCCAAGUUAUCAUUUUCUAAAUACACUUUUCUCAAAGAAUGUUAAAAGUAAAAAGAGGAAAUAUUAAAUAUCAAAUGUACACACACCCUUAAGAACUAAGAGGGUUGAUAUUCUUCAUGUAUAUAUUUGUUUCCUCCUUGCUGUAGAUAUUGGAUCUGGUUCACAAUAACGACAAAGAUGUAGGUAUUACACAGAGUCCUUUAGAAACUUCUCCUGCUGUGUAACGCAGAAUAAAAUAUUUAACACACUCUGGGGAACAGGCAGUCCAUUGAGACUUGGUUGUCUGUCACUAGUUACAAAAGCACGCACAGCACAGGAGUCAGAGCAAUUAGUCAUUAUAAACGUCCCUGUUUAUUGCACUAGGAAUAUUGGACAUGACCUAUUUUCAGAGGCUGUGCCAGAAAAUUCUAACCACACCUUCAAGCUUGGUGCCCUUCGUCUGCUUUUGCCAAGAGGUGUAAGAAUGAUUAAUUCUCUGACCCUUAGUGUCCAUUUUCUAGAGAGACGGGCAGUUGCUGGAUUUAGUCCUCAGUGGGAUCUGAAAGCCACUGAUUACCCUGAUGGUUCUGUUGUCAUCUCUCCGGAUUCAUGAAAGGCUAAAGACAGCUUGCAGUAGAAGAGGAAGACAGGGUAUGUGCUGGCUCCCACCUCCUUAACUCCAUGUCCAGGCUCUGUGGACUUGGUUACUGUUUCCCUUAAGUUUGAUUGUAUCAAGUUCCACCCCAGAAUAUCCAGGAUUCUUUGUUCUUUCUUCCCACAACAGAGUUUCUCUGUGUAAGCUUAGCAAUCCUGGAACUCCCUCAGUAGACCAGGCUGGAUUCAAACUCAACGAGAUCCUCCUACCUCUGCUUCCCAAGUGCUGGGAUUAAAGGGUGUCGAGCUCAUGUACCUGCAGGGACUGGAUCUUCCCCUUGGGAUCUCAUACCAGGAGGAAGACUGAGGCUCCCAUGGUGGGCAGAGGGGAGCCUCUCUCCAUACAGCUCUGACGUGUCAUGAUGGGCAGGACCACAUUCUGACCUCUCACUGUUCACUUAAACCUGAACCUCAUCUUAGGACUCCCAACGACGGACUUAGCAACCGUGGAGGGCCUAACUCAGUCUCCCUGUUCUCUUCCUAGUGGAGUCACAUUGGAAUUUGGGCAGAGUCUCCAUCUACUUGAUCUUCUCUAUGACUUCAUUCCUGGCCCAGGCACGUGAACCCUGGCCUUGCGGCUAAUGCAGGACACCAGCCAUCCUCUGUGAAGUCCAGUCACUCCCCUAGCCCCACCCCUGCCAUAAGGACAGUACUGGUGAGGAGUCUGGGCACCCAGGUUAUCAGCCAGAGCUCAGCCUGCAGCUGGGAGUUGAUAGUGAGGUCAAGCACUUGGGAUGUUACCUGCCACAUUUGCCAUGUGAGGGCAGAGGAGGGAACUUACCUGAUGGCUACCUCUGUGCUGAGGUAAUUGUAACUUGGAGCCUGGUAGGGUGAUCAGGUAUCAGAGAGGCUGCAGGCAUGUGUCUAGCCUCCUAUCCUCACACACCUGCCAAUCUGGUUUCCACACCAGUGGAGGGAAAGCAUCCUUGCCCUUGCCUUCUCUGGGUGUACAAGGUUCAGUCUGCCUUUCCCUCCCAGCAAAGCCUUGGUAAACAUCCCUGCAUGUGCAGUUUCAGGCACAAAGCAGCUCUUCUGACAGCCUGUGACACCCCAGAGUGGUGCCCGGAUGGCCCAUAUACCAAAGAGAUACCAGGAGCAAAUCUGGAUCAUCCUGAGGAAACAGCAAGUCCUGCCUGCCUCCCCCAGCAGUCCAGUCUGAGAUCUGCCUGUCCCACUAGAUGUCCUGCUGGACUUCAAUGCCAGACACCACCUUAGUAGAGGGCAGGCCCUAGAGCAUGACAGGAGGCAUCUGUGGAGUUGGGAGCCUCUGCUGUCUGCAGGCAAGGCUACCCUGCCUCUGCCCAAGGCUACCCUGCCUCUGCCCAAGGCUACCCUGCCUCUGCCCAAGGCUACCCUGCCUUGGCCCUUUCUAGCUGACCCGAGUUGUCCUGAGCUUUGACCCUUUAAUCUACACCAAAGAAAUCCACAUUUCCAGGGCAGUGCCACAGGGACCUCAUACCAGUGUCACUUCCUAAUCGCAGCCCUACCUUCCUGUGUCUUCACCCUUCACAGGACUCCCUCCCGAUGGCCUCUAAGCCCACCCUGUGGCCUGCAGUAGCUCCUGUCCACAGCACCUCAGCAAACACCCAGGCAUUUCCCAGUGGACAGAUAUCCCUCCCUCCCUCCCCCUGCAAUAGCUGACCUCAUCCCCAUGUGCCUUGAUCCCAGGGAGAGAGAGCUCAGUUCGCCCAGACAUCCUCUACCAUGACUGAGCACACUUGGGAAGGAGGACAGUUCACCUUCUCCGAAGCCACAACCCGCAUGGCUGCUCUUUAUUUAUUAAAAGGCCACUGUUGGCUGGGGUUCAGGCCUACAGUUACUUUCUUUAGUCCAGCAUGUUGCUGUUUUCUCUCAGGAUCCUUCAAAGGAAGAAGCACUUCGGGGAAGGAUCCAGUGAAGCAGUCGCAUGAAACAGGGAAGGCAGCAGACGGCUCACAGAGCCCGACUCCAUGAAGAGAAUUUAGGCACAGGCUUGGGACACCUGCACAAACCCCUGCAGCUCCUUGGUAACAGAGCCUGACAGGCACCGACUGGCCCAGGAGCCCCUGCAGGCUGUUCCUGCUGGUGGGGGAGAAGGGCCAAAGCACUCUUAGGACUCCCAGUCAUCCUCGUCCUCGUCUCCUGCUGGCUGCUGUGGGGGCGGCAGAGGUGGAAUGGAGUCUGACAUUCGACUGAAGGCUCCACCAGGCCCCUCACUGGUGCCAGUGCCAGGUCCUUUUCCAGAGAUACCUGGGAGGGAGAGGCGAUGAGAGAGAGAC